UACGUAGGGGGCAAGCGUUAUCCGGAAUUACUGGGUGUAAAGGGAGAGUAGGGGGCAUGACAAGCAAGAUGUGAAAGCCCGGGGCUUAACCGCGGGACUGCAUAAUGAACUGUCAGGCUAGAGUACAGGAGAGGUAAGCGGAAUUCCUAGUGUAGCGGUGAAAUGCGUAGAUAUUAGGAAGAACACCGGUGGCGAAGGCGGCUUACUGGACUGAAACUGACGCUGAGGCUCGAAAGCGUGGGGAGCGAACAGGAUUAGAUACCCUGGUAGUCCACGCCGUAAACGAUGAGUGCUAGGUGUUGGGGGGGAACCCUCGGUGCCGGAGCAAACGCAAUAAGCACUCCACUUGGGGAGUACGGCCGCAAGGUUGAA
rnacentral:rRNA from 1 species